rnacentral:lncRNA from 1 species
GGAGAUCCCUUAAGUACCCAAAUCCUGGAUAGCUUGUCUCGAAUUUAAUCUAAAUCAUAUUACAAGAAAAGUAUGGAACUCUACAUUUUAUGUUCUAUUAGGCAUGCAAAUAUAUAGUGCCUGAUUUGUGAGUUUAAAAUACACUUUGAAUAAGAGCAAAAAUACAGAAAGUUUGUACCGAUCUCUCUAUGCUUUGACAAGUUUUCAUUUAAGUCCUCAUAUUGUCUCUUAUUUAUAUUAAUUUUUCAAUAAUAAACUGAGUAGGAAAUAAGAAAUAAGAAAUAAGAAAUAAGUAUUAAACUAAUCUCCACACCUAUCUCCAUUGUUUUUUUGGAAGUUUUCAUCCCUAGACAUAAUGGGGAGAGUUUUUAAAGCCGCGUCUUCAUGGGAAUUUUUUUGUCCCUACUUAGUCUUGUUUAUAUAAAUAGUAAUUUUAAUAAAAAUAACAAAGGUAUUAUAAAUUUUUCACUAUAUAAGAAUGAGAUAAAAUCGAUUUAAUUUACAAACCACAACAACAAUCUAAGUGUUUAUCAUACACUUUAAUACUAUAGCUUAAACCUACAGUUGUCCAACUAGUAUACUAAACAUAACAUGACCUUGGGAUAGUGAUGCCAAGAUUACCAAAAACAAAAAAGAAAAAGAAAAAAAUUAUAGUUCUUUUUCUUGUGACCAAAAGGAACAGAUUAAUACAAUAAUACGUAGAUGAAAGGGAGCUAAUCAGGUGCGUUUAGUGCACAGCGCAGCUCCCUCAAUAAAAGUUUGACAAGCGCAGAGUCUUACAACACAAGAUGCCAGACUAGAAGCGCUUGAUCACUCUCCAUGAAUGAACUAUGAUAGUAUUCAGAUGCAUGACUCAUGUUCUCUCUCUAUCACCAAACUUGUUUGAAGUUAAUAAAGAUUUUAGGACCACCAUUGAUAGCCUAGUUUUUUUUUUGGAGGGUGUGGUGGGGAAUUAAUUUUGACUUGUUAGUUUGUACUGAACCGGGGCAAAUUAAAUAACAGAUAUAUUAUUGCCAUUUGCUCUAUAAAUAAGAGUAGAAGUCUUUUUGAAAUUUUAAAAAAGUUUUUUGUUCAUUAUAGUAAAACAAAUAAAUGAAUUGAAUUGGAAUAUAAUCAUAAAUGAAAUGAUUCGAAUUCGAUUCAUUUAUUAAACGAAUUGAAAUCUCAAGAUUUGGAUUCAAUUCAUUUAUUAAACAAAUAUUCGGUUCAAUUCUUUUAAUUCCUUUGGUAAAAUUAAUAAAUGAAUCAAAUCAAAUCUAAAUUCGUUUACUAUUCAUUUAUUCUAUAACGAAUUGAAUUGAUUGUUAAUAAACAAAAAUUAAGGAAGAUAAAAUAUAAAAGACCAUAAAUUUAAUAUUUUACAAAAUACAAACUUAUUAUCAUUUAUUGUUACUAUAUUAAUCUUCAAACUUUAAAAUUUUUUAAAUACAUAUUUAAGGAUAUAUAAGUAAUUUAAUUAAAUAAAUUUUAAACGAAUAGUAUAAAUGAACCCUAAACGAAUAAAUGACUGAAUGUCCUCAAAUAUGGAUUCGACUCGUUUAAUUAGUUAAUCAAAUUGAAUUCACCAUUUAUUAAAUAAAUUAAUUUUUUCAAACUCAAACCUAAUUUAUUUGCAUCAAAUCAAAUUGAAUGAAUGAACCCUAACCCAAAUUGCCACCUCUACACUAUAGGAGUAGUAAUUUGGACCUCGCUAUAAUAUUAACAAUGUUAAUUGAUGAUAUCAUUAAAUUAUCGAUAACGUUGUCAAUUUUGUUUGGAUUAAAUGAAAUAAGUGUUUGUGACAUUAUAACUUGUUUUGCACGUUCUAACCUUUUUUUCCCCUAAAAUAAUUGUUCUUAAUUAAUCAUCAAAUAAUUUUUUUUUACUUUCAUUUGGGGUAAAAUAUAAUUCAAUUUGAUAUGGCUAACCUAAACUAGCAAACUAUUAUAAAGUGGAUUAUUGUUUCAUCGUUUCAAUGAUUAUAAAGUCUACACGUUAAUAUAUUAAGCAAUUUCUUUUAGUAUUAGUAAUGAGAAACUUAACAAUUUUAUUUUUUAAUGUCCAAAGGAAAAUUUUGUUAUUUGUCUCGAUUUAACAUAAUAGUUAGUAGGACAUAAUUGGCUUGAAAAUUUUCUUUUGAAAAGCAUAUUUGUUUGAAUUUUUUUUUUCAAAAUGCAUGAUUGGUAUGAAUUGAAUAAUAAUUACAAUUUAUUUUUUUCAUCAUUUACAAAUUAAAACCUUUUGAAGACAGACUAAGAUACUCUUUUUCCUCUUUCAAACAAAUUGUCAGCUUUUAUAUACACACACCCUACUAUUAUGAUCUAAAAUUUUAAAGUACGGAAAAGUCCGAGAAAUUUUUAAAAUCGCACGGUUUAAAAGUGUUAUGAAAUUAACAUUUUAAAACCACUGAGUUUUAAAAGCUUUCCUAAACUUUUCCGUUCUUUCAAAUACUGAAUUAGAAUAUAUAUAUAUAUAUAUAUAUAUAUAUAUACCAGAAGGGAAUAGGAUCGAAGGAUGGAUGUGCUUUCGUUAGAUAUCAAUAUUAAAACUUCAAAUUAAACAAUUAAUGGAUCGGCUUUUCCAAAUUUUAAAAUAAUAGAUUACCAGCUUUGGUUAUGGAGUUCUUUGGAUCAUACAAUGUUCAAACAAAUUUGAACGCGGUUAGUUAAUUUUAAUAACUAAUUGAUACGUGGCGUUGUUCUACCGGAACGAUGCGACCGAAGUCAAGCCUUUGGAUCCAGAUCUGACUUAGAACAGAUCAAUAAUCCGCACGUUCUGGUUUCCAGCCGAUAUACCAACUCAGUUUUUAUUUUACCAAAUAAAGUUAAGUUGCUUUAAACGUGGUUGAUUCUUUUUAGUGGGCUAUUAUCAGAUUUAGAUUAGAUUCUUUUAAAGGUUUGGGUACAUACACAGUACCAGAUCCGGAUCCCGGAAAUGGUGCUCUGAAGGAAUGGAGGGAGAAGAGAAGAUUUACAACUGAGGAU